ACACUCCUACGGGAGGCAGCAGUGGGGAAUUUUGGACAAUGGGCGAAAGCCUGAUCCAGCAAUGCCGCGUGCAGGAUGAAGGCCUUCGGGUUGUAAACUGCUUUUGUACGGAACGAAAAAGCUCCUUCUAAUACAGGGGGCCCAUGACGGUACCGUAAGAAUAAGCACCGGCUAACUACGUGCCAGCAGCCGCGGUAAUACGUAGGGUGCGAGCGUUAAUCGGAAUUACUGGGCGUAAAGCGUGCGCAGGCGGUUAUGUAAGACAGAUGUGAAAUCCCCGGGCUCAACCUGGGAACUGCAUUUGUGACUGCAUGGCUAGAGUACGGUAGAGGGGGAUGGAAUUCCGCGUGUAGCAGUGAAAUGCGUAGAUAUGCGGAGGAACACCGAUGGCGAAGGCAAUCCCCUGGACCUGUACUGACGCUCAUGCACGAAAGCGUGGGGAGCAAACAGGAUUAGAAACCCUGGUAGUCCCAUGA
rnacentral:rRNA from 1 species